UUCUCUUCCCGCCCACGAUAACGUCCCAUUCCUCCAGUCUCCAUAACCUGUAAAAAUAUCCUCGAACUUUAAUCCAUCCGGCCAUCUUCAUUUUUGUUUUCUCGUGCAGCCUAAUCCAUUCGAAAAUGAGAGUAUGGAUCAAUCUCUACCGUCCUGUAGUUCCCCCUUUAGUCCUAUUGUUCCUCUCCCCGGUGUAUCUCCUUGCCGAUGCACAGUCUGGCAGUACAGAAUCAAUGUACAGUCCUUACGGACCAGACGCCAAUUUCAACCAGUCGAUGGCGGUUGUCGUCGUGUUCCUCAUGGUGGCCUUCUUCCUCAUGGCUUUCUUUUCCAUCUACAUCCGGGAGUGCCUUGAGUCAAACGCCGCCGCCCCCCACAACAACGGUCUGGUGAUCACCACCAGCCAGCCAAGCCACCACGGUCUCGACCGUGCCGUGAUUGAGACCUUCCCGAUCUUCGUCUAUUCCAAGGUUAAGGAUCUGAAGAUCGGUAAAGGAGCGCUCGAGUGCGCGGUGUGCUUGAGCGAGUUCGAAGACGACGAAAUGCUGCGUUUGUUGCCCAGAUGCUACCAUGUUUUCCAUCCCGAUUGCAUUGACGCCUGGCUAGCUUCUCACGUUACGUGCCCGGUCUGCAGAGCUAAGCUUGAAUUCGCAUGCGAAGCACCGCAAUCGAGUACCGACUCGACCGACUGUUCGAAUCAAGAUGACAACCCGAGCGCAGAAGUAGUACCAGUCGAGAUGCGAAACGAGCAGGUUUCGAUUGAUAUUAACGAUGAUAACAGCACGGUCGAGAUCGCGAACUGUCCUUCGAGGACGAGAAUAUCAGGGAAGUUCCCGAGGUCGCACUCGACGGGUCACUCACUGGUUCAACCCGGAGAGAACACGGAGAGAUACACACUGAGAUUGCCAGAGGAGAUGAGGAAGCAGAUGAUUCUAGUAAGUGGGAACCUGAGGCGGUCGAGUAGCUACGAUGUCGUUUUGGGAAGUAUAGGCAGUAGUAGAGGGAAGAACGGCAGUGUGGACCGGCAGGUUGGAGCGUCGGACCGGUGGGUGGUGUCAGUGACGCCGCCGUUUGUAUCGAGGGGUGGCUCCGUGAAGUCUCCAAAGUUAGGCGGGGAGGGAAACGUGACGAGUACUGGAAAGACCUUCUUGACGUCGGUUAAAGACGCCGUUAGAUCGUCUUUAGCGUGAAGACAGAGGGAGGGCAAGAAAAAGAUCAUCCGUCGGUCCCGUCUCAGGACAUAUCCCAACAAAAUAUACGCUGGUAGAGUUGAGGUGACGUUUGGAUAAUCAUUAAUACAGGAGAGUAUACUUUUGAGGGUUUAUCUAACAUGGCAUUACUACAGUGCAUGGAAACUGCUUGGGACAGAUUUGUAAAAGGGUCCCAAACAAUGGAUGUUGGUGGCUAUAGGAAAGAUCUAACAACUUUGGGUGCUCUCCAGCGAGGUUCCUAACAGUCUUGGAAAAAAAAUUAUGUCGGCUUUUACUUGGCAAAAGUGAUUAAGAUAGUGAUUUCUUGUUUCUCCAUGGUUUCUUAUUUUUAGAAAGAUUCAAUGGAAGAGUCUAUUGAGAUAGUGAUUGAGAAGUUGCUUCAUGUUACAAAAGAUUUAGAACCAGAUUGGUGUAAUGGAGUAUUUUGACUAUUAAAGUUUCAUCAUUAGUGUUUGUGUUCCUUUUCUGAUGAUGUUAUGAUGGUAUUCUUCUAACGCCAAGCUAUUUUUGCUGGUCUAUCUUCCUCAGCCAAAUUUUCCUCAUUAUGGCUUUCAGUAUAUUUACUCUGCCAUUUUUUAGAUCUGGUUUCAACCCAGUAUUUUGAGUGGCUAAUGUUUCGGAUAGAGGAUUUUGACAAGAUUGGAAGUGAAGACAAGUGGACAGUUUGUAAGGGUGUUGCAGUGAAGCUGGUGGCAUAUCUUGUGUUACUAUAGUUUGUCAAUAUUACUUUCACUAGGCCAUUGUAGGAUGUUCUUCGAAAUGGAGUGAAAAUUUGUUUGUAAAUGAAAUUGAUGGCUAAUGAAAUAGUCAUUAUCAGGUGUUCAGUGUAUUGAUUAUAAAUGAAAUCUAAGAGUUUUCAAUAAA